rnacentral:rRNA from 1 species
GACGAACGUUGGCGGCGUGCUUAACACAUGCAAGUCGAACGGAAAGGCCCUGCUUUUGUGGGGUGCUCGAGUGGCGAACGGGUGAGUAACACGUGAGUAACCUGCCCUUGACUUUGGGAUAUCUUCAGGAAACUGGGGCUAAUACCGGAUAGGAGCUCCUGCUGCAUGGUGGGGGUUGGAAAGUUUCGGCGGUUGGGGAUGGACUCGCGGCUUAUCAGCUUGUUGGUGGGGUAGUGGCUUACCAAGGCUUUGACGGGUAGCCGGCCUGAGAGGGUGACCGGCCACAUUGGGACUGAGAUACGGCCCAGACUCCUACGGGAGGCAGCAGUGGGGAAUAUUGCACAAUGGGCGGAAGCCUGAUGCAGCAACGCCGCGUGCGGGAUGACGGCCUUCGGGUUGUAAACCGCUUUCGCCUGUGACGAAGCGUGAGUGACGGUAAUGGGUAAAGAAGCACCGGCUAACUACGUGCCAGCAGCCGCGGUGAUACGUAGGGUGCGAGCGUUGUCCGGAUUUAUUGGGCGUAAAGGGCUCGUAGGUGGUUGAUCGCGUCGGAAGUGUAAUCUUGGGGCUUAACCCUGAGCGUGCUUUCGAUACGGGUUGACUUGAGGAAGGUAGGGGAGAAUGGAAUUCCUGGUGGAGCGGUGGAAUGCGCAGAUAUCAGGAGGAACACCAGUGGCGAAGGCGGUUCUCUGGGCCUCUCCUGACGCUGAGGAGCGAAAGCGUGGGGAGCGAACAGGCUUAGAUACCCUGGUAGUCCACGCUGUAAACGGUGGUACUAGGUGUGGGGUCCAUUCCACGGGUUCCGUGCCGUAGCUAACGCUUUAAGUACCCCGCCUGGGGAGUACGGCCGCAAGGCUAAAACUCAAAGGAAUUGACGGGGCCCCGCACAAGCGGCGGAGCAUGCGGAUUAAUUCGAUGCAACGCGUAGAACCUUACCUGGGUUUGACAUGGAUCGGGAGUGCUCAGAGAUGGGUGUGCCUCUUUUGGGGUCGGUUCACAGGUGGUGCAUGGCUGUCGUCAGCUCGUGUCGUGAGAUGUUGGGUUAAGUCCCGCAACGAGCGCAACCCUUGUUCACUGUUGCCAGCACGUUAUGGUGGGGACUCAGUGGAGACCGCCGGGGUCAACUCGGAGGAAGGUGGGGAUGACGUCAAGUCAUCAUGCCCCUUAUGUCCAGGGCUUCACGCAUGCUACAAUGGCUGGUACAGAGAGUGGCGAGCCUGUGAGGGUGAGCGAAUCUCGGAAAACCGGUCUCAGUUCGGAUUGGGGUCUGCAACUCGACCUCAUGAAGUCGGAGUCGCUAGUAAUCGCAGAUCAGCAACGCUGCGGUGAAUACGUUCCCGGG